GAGUGGUGCUGGAACAAGCAGGAAGAGAAGGCGGGGGGGCACCUGGGGCCCUGGGGGAGCAGUCUUUUCCCAGGCCUUGCCUGGUGUCGCUGGCUUGCAUGGGAUCAGGAAGGGGGCCUGGAAGCAGAGGGGUUCCUGCCUGGCUCAUCUCCUGGGGUUCCCCACAACCUGGUUAGAGCCACACUGACCCAGGGAUAAUCACCCUGACCCCAGCACCCAGCUCUGUGCCCAUGAUCCCUGCCCCUGGCAUCUGGAACAACUUGGAGCAUCUUUGGCCCAACUUCUCUGCUGCAUUAACAGCAAAGCCAAAAAUAGCCAUCUAAUGACGUCAGAGGAACAAGGUCAUCUGAAAAUUGCCCACGGCCACUGGACACCUCCCUAUAGGAUCAAGUAGCAGGAGGGUACCCCAGGCUGGUGCAGCUGUUCCAAGAACAGGAAACGUCCCAGGAACAGACUUGGAAGCGCAACCUCAGGAAGGCAGGGCCUGUGGGGGCAGGGGACAAAAGCAAACACAUAAAAGAGUAGAAGCAAGACCCAAGUGCGGAGUAUAGACCUGGGAGUUGAGAGUAAUGCUUUAUCUGCACAAGAAGUUUCUCCCAUAACACGAUCCCAGGAAAAGGCUAAAAAGAAGGGAAUGCAUGUUGUCCUGUUGCACAUGACAGCUUCCCAGCCUACCAUUGUGCUAUUUAUAAAACUUCAGGUCCGUGUGCUAAACUGGGUUACCAUGAGAACCAGGGGCUGCAGGGCAAGCUCUGAGCAGCUGCUGGAAGAAGAGGGCCCCGACUGGGAUGGUGAGGGGUACCUAAACGAAGGUGAGGAGUGGGCUGGGACAAAGCACCUCCUAGCUGCAGUCACUUGGCACUGUGACCACCUUGGCUAUCUGGGCCUGCUGAGGCUUGUGACUUCACUUACUGGCAGCUGCCACAUCCCUGACAGGAGUCCAAGCAUCCAGCAUGGUCUGACAUGCCUGCUGUGUCAAGGUGAGGAGAGAGGACCUGCCUCCCAACCUCCGGGAAGCUUAGCUGGAGGUUCCCACAGCACAGUUGAGUUCAGUGAGGGCUCCAGCCCCAGCUGCGACCUUCACGAGACACUUGCUCCAAAGUCCUGAGUUGGUGGCCCUGAAGGCUGACUGAAACAACCUCUUCUUCACCCACAGGGUCUUUGAUCAAGUCUCACUAAAUUCCAAAAAGAGCCAAGAGCUGAGAAUGCCCAUCCACUACAGCUGGCUCUACUCACGGGAUACAACUGGUGUGGUGGAAGGGGCACCUGAGGGCGGAGAGACCUGGCCCAAAUUCUGGCGCUGCCACUUACUAGCAGCGUUUCUGUGGGAAAGUCACUUAAACUCUGGGCCUCAGUUUCCUCAUCUGUCUUAGGACUUGUUGGAAGGCCAUAUAGAAAAGCCUUCCUCCAUCUUGGUAAUGGAGUGUUAGCUGAGCAGAUGAACACCUACACAACCAACUCGGCGGCUCUCCUGGGUGACGCCAACAGACUGCACAAAGAUGGCAGCAGAGGGAGCUCUGGAGGGGAGCAGAGACGUUUAUCACCUGCCAGAAGAGGACAGCUAUCAGCUUAUUGUCUGUCUCCCCACCUAAAAUUAGCCUUCUGAGCAGAGAGUCUAAGAGAUUUUCUGUGGUUUAGAAGAAUUGACAGAAUUUAUCUGAAUUAUCUACUGCAGAUAUACAAAUGUUCCUCAGAAAUACGAAAGUAUGUCAAACUAUAAAGGGGCUACAGAAAGUUUAGUGGUAUUAUUCCCACUUUAAAAAUGUAUUCUCUCCUUAUCUUACUGAUAGUUUUUAAAAUUUCAUCAUAAAAUGUUGGUAAUUAAAUGCAAUUGAUAUUUGUAAAUUAGACCUCAAUAGAGCUGAUUUCUUUUCUUUAAAAAGGCACUGGCAAUAACCUAGUACAACUCCCUCCUUUUAUAGGUAAGAGUAAAAGUAACAAAAGAUGACAUGUCUUGACUCUGCUACAGAGCUAAUUGCUGUCAGCUUGAAAUUAGAGAUCAGCUCUCCUGGAAAUUGAUUAAGGUAUUUAUUUUCUCCUUGUUCUUUUAGGCACAUCCCCCUUCUUUGUAAAAUAUAACACAUAUGAAAAAAAUGCACAAAAUAAAAAUUAAGUUAAAUGAUUACUAAGUGAAGACUAAUGAAAUCACCAUCUAGGCAAAGAAACAGAACCCUGGCAGCAACUGCUGUCUUGACUUGUUUUACAGUAGUCAUUACCUUUUACUUAUCAUUUUACCACAUAAGCAUUCAUUCCAUAUACAUGGCACAUUAGUUUGUAAACAAAACACCAAAUAACAACAACAAAAACUUUAUAUGAUGUACUCAGACUACUCCAAGUAUUCUUUUGUCUGGUUUAUUUCACUCAACAUUAUGUUUGAAAGAGUUAAUCACAUUGACUCAUGUAUUUUUAGUUCACUGACUUUUCAAUGCUGUAUAACAUUCAUUGUAGGAAUGUACUGCUAUUUAUCCAGCCUACUGUUGAUUCUUGUGUGUCUCUUGGUGCAGAUGUGUACAUGUUGCUGUUGAGCAUAUUAAGUUGUAAAAUUGCAAAGUCAUAGGACAUUGAUUAUACCAACUAAAGUUGUUUUCCAAAGUGUUUGUACCAUAAAAUGGUGCAGCUACUACAGAAAAGCAGUUUGGAGGUUUCUCAAAAAACUAAAAAUAGAAAUACCACAUAAUCCAGCAAUCCCCCUUCUGGGAAUUUACCCAAAGAAAAUGAAAUCACUAAUUUGAAAAGAUAUUUGCACUCCUAUGUUUAUCUCAGCAUUAUUUAAAAUAGCCAAAAUAUGGAAGCAAACUAAAUGUUCAUCAAUAGGUGAGUGGAUAAAGAAAGAUGCAGUGCAUAUAUACAACAGAGUAUUACUCAGCCAUAAAAAAGAAUGAAAUCUUGCCAUUGGUGACAAUAUGGGUGGGCCUAGAGGGUAUUAUGUUAAGUUGAAGAAGUCUGACAAAGACAAAUACUGUAUGAUUUCACUUGUAUGUGGAAACUAAAAAAAAACUAACAGAUAUAGAUUCAUAGGCACAGAGAACAGACUGGUGGUUACCAUAGGGUAGGGGUUGGGGGGAAUGGGUGAAAGGAAGGAAAAAUUAGUGAGAAUGUUUGAUACCCUGAGCUGGGUGAUGGUUAAAUGAGGGUAUACAUAUGUCAAAAUUCAAGCUGUACACUAAGAUGUAUGCAUUUUAUUGUAUGUACCUCAAUAAAAGAACAACACAAAGUACUUGUACCCAUUUAUGCUUAUACUGGCAAGUGUGUAAGAAUGCAUUGCUCUACAACUUCCUGAACACUUGGUAUUGUCAGAUGAUUUAAAUCUAGCCAGUAACAGCAGCUGGAAAUGGAGGAGGAAAAUUCUGAAAGUGAAAGAGCUACAGAAAAGACAUCACCCAAAAUCUGAGCAAAAACAGCACAAAUUCCUACUUGACUGCUAAACUUUGCACGUUUAGGGGAGACCUAGAGGCCCAGCAAAAAAGCAAGCAGAAACUGGUGAGGUAUCCACCCUUAAAAGACAUAACUGUGCCAGGUAAGACUUGAGUUUGCUGCUUUUUUUUAUUACAUGUAUUCCCCGCUGUGUAUAUAGUAGAAUGGUACAAACCCAAAGUUAUACUAGCUUAAGUUGUCAGAAGACAAACAUUUGGGAUGACAAAACAGCUGGAUAUUGAGAGACAAAACUCCAGAAGCAAGAGAACCACAGAGGGUGAACACUCAAACUUCGUUAUAAAUACUACUCAAAGUCUUGGCUGACCGUUUACCUUCAUAAAGCAGAGGGGAGACUCCAGAAAGCUAGACUGAGAAAGCAGCAGCCAUAUACAGAGAUAUGUGAAUGGUCAUAUAUCAUGAAAUGUAAUCAGCAUCAUUAGUCAUAAAUGCAUAUUAAAAACACAAUGAAAUAUUUUUAAAAAGACUGACAAUACCAAGUGUUGGGUAAGGUGUGAAGCAACCAAAACUCAUAUAUUGCUAGUGAGAAUGUAAAAUGGUACACUUUGGCAAACAAUAUGGUUUUUUUCUAAUAAGCACACACUUAACAGUGUGGCCCAGCAAUUCCACUCCUAGGUAUUUAUUGAAGAGAAACUCAGGUCCUCAUAAAGACCUAUAGCAAAACCUACAGGUUGCUGAGGGUGCUCCCCAAAUAUGGUAACAAUGCCUAGCAGCUUUAUUUAUAAUAACCCCAAACUAGAGGCAAUUCAGAUGUCCAUUAAUCAGUUAAUGGAUAAAUUGUGGUAUAUCCAUUCAAAGAAUUUAUUAUCAGGCAUGAAAAGGAACACAAUACUAAUAUAUGCAAUGACACAGAUGAAUCUUAAAAGCACAUGCUAAGUGAAAGAAGUUAAGAUAUAAAAGUAUAUAUUAUAAAGUUCCAUUUACAAAAAUAUCUAGGACAGGAAAAACUAAUCUAUGGUGACAAAUUAGAACAAUGGUUGCUUCUGGGUAGGAGGUGACAGAGUAAGAAGGUAGGGAGAGCAGUAAGGUAGAUAAGCAGUAAUUGACUGUAAUGGGAUAGAGAUGAGGCAACUUUGUGAUGAUGGAAAUGUUCUAUACAUUUUGAUUAUGUUGUGGUUGCAUGUUAGUAUAUAUUUGUCAAAACUAAUCAGACUAUGUACUCAAGAUCUAUACAUUUUACUGUGUGCAAAUUAUACCCCAAUAAGGUUGAUUAAUGAUUGUGCAUUGAGUCCCCUAUACAGAAUUUUAUUGUUGUUAACAACCAUUUGAUCAAUAAAUGAGAGAUGCCCUCUCAAAAAAAAAAAAAAAUUAUACCCCAAUAAAAUUAAUUUUUUUAAAUGGACUGGAAAUCAUAAAAAUUAGAAAGAAGGCAAAGUAUAUGAAGACAAAACCAUUUUGGACCAUUCAUUAAAUUCAACAUGUAAUGACGUUAUCUUUGAAGAGAAGAAUUGCUGGGUAUCUUUAGGGAGAAAUGGGUAGGGGAUAAAAUUCCAAAAAUUAAAACAUGUAUCUGUGGUAAAACAACACCUCCAUGGAAUAACUAUUAUUAUAGACUAAGGCCUUGUUUACUCUUAACUAUUCUGUGUCAAACAAGUUUUGGACAUCUUUUAGCCUAUCCAUCCAAAUUAUGUGAAAAUAAAAUAUUUGGAAAUUUGUAUGAUUAUCUACACCUUCAUAUUCUCUCUGCUGUCCAGAUUAGGUAACACUGGACUAAGAUAAAUCUGAGAUCUGAGAUGAAUGGCACUGAUGUUUUACAUCCUACUAUGCAUUCUCAUAGUGCAGUAUCAUUUAUGAAGUACUGUCACAUAUUAUCUUUUUUGGCCCUUUCUUACAAUAAGCUUGAGAGAUACAGUUAUCUUCAGUAAACUGAGGUUGUGAGUGGUAGAGGUACCUGCCUUAAAAACAAAACAAAAAAACCAUUCAGGUCUUCUAACUCUGAGAGCAACUGGCUUCCUGUCAUACCAUCAUUUCCAAAAAGCAUUCCAGAAUCCAGAUGAGGAGCACCUUAGUAAUCAUAUGCUUAUACAAAAUGGAGAAGCCAAGACACACACAUGCUUGGAUUCUGAAGGAAUCUAUAGGACACUAGUUUCUUUUUCCAUUGGCCUCACUUCACAGUCUAAACAUGGAACAGAAACUAUAGAAUCAAUCUAUAGCAAACUCUUAAGACUCCUGUAAUAUAUACAUAGCUGGUUGAGAUUUCAUAGAAUUUUUUGAUUAAAAUGGUCUU